rnacentral:rRNA from 1 species
UACGUAGGGGGCGAGCGUUGUCCGGAUUUAUUGGGCGUAAAGAGCGUGUAGGCGGCCAGGUAGGUCCGUUGUGAAAACUCGAGGCUCAACCUCGAGACGUCGAUGGAAACCAUCUGGCUAGAGUCCGGAAGAGGAGAGUGGAAAUUCCUGGUGUAGCGGUGAAAUUCGCAGAUAUCAGGAAGAACACCCGUGGCGAAGGCGGCUCUCUGGGACGGUACUGACGCUGAGACGCGAAAGCGUGGGGAGCGAACAGG